GACGUAGGAGGCGAGCGUUGUCCGGAUUCAUUGGGCGUAAAGAGCACGCAGGCGGUUUGGCAAGUCGGAUGUGAAAACCCGGAGCUCAACUCCGGACCUGCAUCCGAAACUGCCCGACUAGAGGUAGGUAGGGGAGAUCGGAAUUCCUGGUGUAGCGGUGAAAUGCGCAGAUAUCAGGAGGAACACCGGUGGCGAAGGCGGAGCGCUGGGCCUUACCUGACGCUCAGGUGCGAAAGCUAGGGGAGCGAACAGG
rnacentral:rRNA from 1 species